CCUACGGGAGGCAGCAGUGGGGAAUUUUGGACAAUGGGCGCAAGCCUGAUCCAGCCAUGCCGCGUGUGGGAAGAAGGCCUUCGGGUUGUAAACCACUUUUGUCAGGGAAGAAACGGUCUGAACUAAUACUUUGGACUAAUGACGGUACCUGAAGAAUAAGCACCGGCUAACUACGUGCCAGCAGCCGCGGUAAUACGUAGGGUGCAAGCGUUAAUCGGAAUUACUGGGCGUAAAGCGUGCGCAGGCGGCUUUGCAAGACAGAUGUGAAAUCCCCGGGCUCAACCUGGGAACUGCAUUUGUGACUGCAUGGCUAGAGUACGGUAGAGGGGGAUGGAAUUCCGCGUGUAGCAGUGAAAUGCGUAGAUAUGCGGAGGAACACCGAUGGCGAAGGCAAUCCCCUGGACCUGUACUGACGCUCAUGCACGAAAGCGUGGGGAGCAAACAGGAUUAGAUACCCUGGUAGUCCACGCCCUAAGCGAUGUCAACUGGUUGUUGGGAGGGUUUCUUCUCAGUAACGAAGCUAACGCGUGAAGUUGACCGCCUGGGGAGUAACGGCCGCAAGGUUGAAACUUCAAAGGAAUUGACGGCNGAGAGNGCGAGACGACGACGAGGAGGAGG
rnacentral:rRNA from 1 species